rnacentral:rRNA from 1 species
GGGAGGGAUGCGAGCGUUGUUCGGAAUCACUGGGCUUAAAGGGCGUGUAGGCGGGGAUGUCAGGGUGUCUUGUGAAAGCCCCCGGCUCAACCGGGGAAUUGCUUGGCAAACCGGCAUCCUUGAGGCAGGUAGAGGCGACUGGAACCUUUGGUGGAGAGGUGAAAUUCGUAGAUAUCAAAGGGAACGCCGGUGGCGAAAGCGGGUCGCUGGGCCUGUCCUGACGCUGAGACGCGAAAGCGUAGGGAGCGAACGGGAUUAGAUACCCCGGUAGUCUACGCCGUAAACGAUGCGCACUAGGUACGAGGGUCUCUGACGAUUUUCGUGCCGCAGCAAAAGUGUUAAGUGCGCCGCCUGGGGAGUACGGCCGCAAGGCUA